rnacentral:lncRNA from 1 species
ACAUACAUACAUACAUACAUACAUACAUAAAUAAAUAAAUAAAUAAAUAAAUAAUAGCUUAGGACAUUUGUAACUCUUAGUUAGACUUUCUAUUAAAUGGGACCAAAUGUGUGUAUGGGUGCUGUCAGUCUGCUUCAGUCUAGCCAGUCCAGUAUCUCCAAGAUGAGACUCAACAGGACUUGGAUUUUGAGAAGCCCAGGCUCUAAAUAAUAGCCUCAGGUCAUCAGGGGGACAGACUGAGUGUCUGUGAUCACUAACAGGGAGUGGGCCUUGAGUCCACUCCAGAACUGUGGUGGGAGACCAAUACUCUUAACAGACUGUCCAGUAGGUAUCGGGAAUCCUUGAACAAUUUGGGUUUUCUUCCCCUUUUUUCUCUUUCGUGCUGCAUGCACAUUUAUCCAACACUCACGGGUUGUUUGGGAAAAAGUACCAGCAAUGAUGUCGAUGUUAAUAAUACUUCAUAAUUGAUAUCUUAUAGCUUUCAAGUAAAGUGUUUUCUAUAACUCAGAUAAUUAAUUUGAAGCAAGAAAGAAGGUAAAAAUGAGGUUUCCCAGCCAUGUUGCUGCUUUUGGCAUGGUCGCUUCUCUGAGGUUCACCUAGGCUUUCACAGCAAAAGUUGGGUGGAAAGAGAAAUUUUUAUUUGUGAUGACACAAUAGAGCCAGAAUAUUAGCUAACAACGUUGAAGGAGGUGUUGGGUGUUUUUAAAUAUUUAGUUAAUAUAUUCCUCAUGGACAUAAAAUACAUUCUUAGUUAUUAUCAUUAUGUCAAACAAGAAUGGCAAGCCUAAGUUUGUGAGGCAUCAUCACAAUUCUGUCAAAAUAAUGUUAUGCUUUUGAAAGAUAAAGCCUGCUCAAUCUAGGGAUCCAGUUGUGCAGUAGAGUUCAGACUUCUCAUCCAAUCUUAUAUUGUAGGCAUUUCUCAAGUGUUUUAGAUAUUAAUAACUAACAUUGGGAUUUUACUUUGCCAGCCCCAGCCUUCAGAACUCCAUUGUCAUAGUACACCUGUAAAAAUGGUUGCACAUCAGAAGGGGCUUUGAAGCGCUUGUAUGUUGUUUGCCGGAGUCAUUGUAAUUUUUUUGUUUGUUUUUUUGGGCUUUUUGUUUGUUUGUUUUUGCCUGCAUUGCCUCUUUUUGUACAGAACUUUUGAGUGUGAAAUGAAAAUUAAAGUUUGGUACAUACACAGUU